rnacentral:rRNA from 1 species
CGUUCUUAGUUCGUGGAGUGAUCUGUCUGCUUAAUUGCGUUUCAAAUUUUUAACCGAGGACCGGGUUUUGGUUUGGCUAGUGGUCCUACGAUGACUGUGAACUGUCAUGUCUUCGGAUGUACGACUAUCGGUCUAGGAUCACAUGACUUGCCCCUGGGACUCUUUUGAACGCAACGGACGUGAUUGCAACCCCUUGUUGAGAUUAGAGAUAGUCUCGAUAUUCACUGGCCAAACUGGCUGCUUUAUGCAGUCUUGUUGAAUGGUGGAUAAACUCGGGGGACUGCUGACUAUAACCAUUUCUCAAAACAGAGGAAGGUUGCGGCAAUAACAGGUCUGUGAUGCCCUCAGAUGUCCCGGGCUGCACACGUGCUACAAUGAGUGGCGCAAUGUGCUAAUGUUUUAAGGGAUAAGCGUGCGGCCAGUAGAACGUCGGCAAUUGCCCUGGCGUCUUCUACCGCACGAUUAUCAGCCUUCCCUUAACAGGGCGGGCAACCUUUUCAAAAU